AACCUUUCUCCACUUCAGUCUUCAAGGGUCGAACUUAAAUAUUUGCUACUACCAAUGAGAUCUGCACUAACGGAAGCUCCAGCUAGGCCUUCGUCUAAAUCGCUCAAUGCAACUGCCACGACCCUUCUACACGCUGCGGCCACGCGUAUAUAUACGUAAGAACGAAAGUCAGAGGUUUGAAGGCGAUUAGAUAUCGCCCUAGUUCUGACCGUAAACUAUGCCAUCUAGUGAUCUGAUGGAGUAUUGUUGCUUUGUCGAGGAGCUUUCCGGAAACGAAAGUCUUUCGGUUCCUUGGGUAGUAUGGUUGCAAAGUUGAAACUUAAAGAAAUUGACGGAAUACCACCACAAAGAGUAAAACCUCUGCUUAAUUUGAUUCAACGGAGAAAAUCACUCUGCCCGGACACCGUAAGGAUCGACAGAUUGAAAGUUUACUUCUUAGAGGCGUUAGCCUCUAAGCGGUGUUUAGCCGCACGAGGUUGAGCGAUAGCAGGUCUGUGAUGCCCUUAGGUGUUCGGAGCUGCACACGCGUUACAAUGGAAGAAUCAGCUGGCCAAUCCACUGCCGAAAGGUAUUGGUAAACCGUCAAAACUAUUCCGUGGCCGGGAUAGGGAAUUGCAAUUAUUUCCCUGGAACGAGGAAUUCCUAGAAAGCGUGAGUCAUCAGCUCACGCUGAUUACGUACCUGCCAUUUGUACACACCGCCCAUCGCUGUCUGAGGCUGAGCUGUCUCGAGAGGACUGCGGACUACUGUACUGAGACCUUCGGGUCGCGUUAUGCCGGGAAACAGAUCAAUCGCAAUGGCUUGAACAGGGUAAAAGUCGUAACAAGAUAUCCGUAGGUAACCCUGCACAUGGAUCAUCG
rnacentral:ncRNA from 1 species